AAUCAACGCUGGCGGCGUGCCUAACACAUGCAAGUCGAACGCGAAAGCCCCGCAAGGGGUCAGUAGAGUGGCAAACGGGUGAGUAACGCGUGGGUGACCUGCCUUCGAGUGGGGGAUAACGUCUCGAAAGGGACGCUAAUACCGCAUGACAUCUUGCCUUUGAAGAGGUGACGAUCAAAGCCGGGGUCGCAAGACCUGGCGCUUGAAGAGGGGCCCGCGUCCGAUUAGCAGUUGGUGAGGUAAUGGCUCACCAAGGCGACGAUCGGUAGCCGGCCUAAGAGGGCGGACGGCCACACUGGGACUGAGACACGGCCCAGACUCCUACGGAGGCAGCAGUGGGGAAUUGUUCGCAAUGGCGCAAGCCUGACGACGCAACGCCGCGUGGAGGACGAAGAUCUUCGGGUCGUAAACUCCUGUCGAGCGGGACGAAU
rnacentral:rRNA from 1 species